UUUACAUGGUUUCUAUGCUGAAUAACUGUCCAGGUUGAACAACUACGCAAAUCAGGACUUAUCAAAGGGGGUAGCACUGAAAACGCCAUUGUUUGUAGUGAAAGUAGAGGCUGGCUGAAUCCACCACUGCGUUUCAGUGAUGAACCUUGCAGACACAAGGUUUUAGAUCUUAUGGGUGAUCUUUCCCUUUUGGCGCAGGGUGGUAACCAAGGGCUUCCAGUGGCACACAUUAUUGUCUAUAAGGGUGGACAUGCACUGCAUACGGAUUUUGCUCGCUGCUUAUCGAGAGUCAAAUGAGCUGGUGUGUUGGAAAUUUACUAGUUUUGGCGCUCAGUUCUUGUUGUUGGUAGAAGCCUAGUUUUUCCUGACUCCCUGCUGGUCCAGAAGCCGUUAAGACUGCACUUGAUUAUUUGCUGGACGUUGUCAAAUAGUAAGCGAAGUGUUAAGAGUAGGAAGCAUGAGUUACAUGACCGAACUCGUGACGACAUUAUCACUUGGAUGGUGUAAUUGGUAAGACGAGCACUUACGCCUAUUCUAUUACCCCGACUUUGAGGCAUGGUUGGUAUCAUGACUUGGAGAAUGCCGAAGGUGAGGGUCUAAAGAGCCCGUUUCAGCACAACUUUUCAGAUAUUAAGGUCAUUUGUUUACACAAAUCAUAUUAGUUAAAAAUCAUUGCAUUAUUAUUCUUGUUAUUGGAUGAGUAUGGGGCGGGGUGGAUGAAAUGGAGGCUUGCUUUUGGUGUUUUGUAUGAUAAGACUGUGCCACCAAACCUUAAAGGUCAGACUGACUAUAUUAUAUGAGACUGAGUGUUGGUCAGUCAAAACUUCCAUGUCCAGAAGAUGAAGGUGGCAGAAAUGAGAAUGUUAAGAUGGAUGUACGAGCAUAUCAGGAUAGAUAAAAUUAGGAAUGAAGUUAUUCGGGACAAGGUGUGUGUGGCCCCUGUGUGAGCACCUAAUUUUUGAUCAUAUUUUUAUUUUCACCAUUUUUAAUAGGUAAAUAUUUUUUAAGUUUAAUCUAAAUAUUUUAGCUUUUGUUUCAUCUAUUAUAGGUUUUACUUAAGAAAAUAAAAAAAAAAAUUAAAUCACAUUUCUUGUAUAAGUUUUAUCUUCAUUUACAAAGAAUAUAUAUAUGUAUAUGUAUAGUUUAGUGCAAUUUUUAAGUUAGAGACUUUCAAUAAAUAAAUAUUAAGUAUGUACUAAUAUUUUUAGGAGUAGAUUUUAUUUUGUUUACUUAUUUUCAAGAAAAGAAAAUUAACAAAAAGAGAGCCAAUAAUAAAUGGCCACAUGGAAGAUUACCUCAUAUCUCCUCUAACUAAUUUACCCAUAGAAAAGACCUCCCCAAGUCGGCACUUGCAGAUAACCAACCACACACAAAAAAAGGGGGAACCCGUGAAAACAGGGGAAAAAGAACAGAGGCAGGGAAAAACCCUUCUGAUGCGUUUCAUAGCAAAAGCUCAGAAGCAAAAAUCAUAAAAAACCCAUGAAAACUUCAAUCUUCUCCCUAAAAAUCAGCCACUGUCUCUAUCACUUAAGACCCAAUUAAAACAAACAUAAAAAAACUCCUCCAUAUCCACCAACAAUCCAGCCAACAACGCAACCAACAAAGCAGCAAAAAGCUAGCUACAAUUAGUCUCAAAACCAUCCAAAAGCAUCUGAAAAUACUUUCAAAAUGACCCCAAAACCAGCCUCAAAACCACCCAAAACUCCAAAUGCAGCAGUAAGAGAGUGAGACCCAAAGAGCUGAAACCUCUACUAUAAAAUCAUUGGAAAUGUUCAGUCCGUCAGGGUCGUCGAGGUCGCCGUUCGAGUGCUCCUGUCGCGGGUCUCGUUCUAGUUCUUUAUCUGGGUAGUAAUCGCUGGGAUUCAUGUAUUUUGAUGACGUUGGGAGCUUUAUGUUUUGAUAUAUUGAAGAAGUUUAUUUGCUGAGUAUAAAGAUCCAGGUGCAUCUGAGGUUGAGUGAGGAUUAUUUCAGUUGAGCAGCGCAUAUCCGGGAGCAUCGAGGUAGCUGCAUGGCAUCCGCAGCCCUGAUCUCUCCCUUCUAUCCUUGUUAUUAAUUAGUAUUUCGUAGAUGGACAUGUAUUAGGUUGUUAAACUUGUACUAGAGGCUCGAGACUUGUGACACCAGAUCUGUAUGGGCUAUGUAGUGGUAUUAUCAUCUGACUUUCCGC